AACGGCCAUACCAUGCUGAAUAUACCGGUUCUCGUUAGAUCACCGAAGUCACAUUAUUGGGCGCGGUCAGUACUUGGAUGGGUGACCACCUGGGAACACCGCGUGCCGUU
rnacentral:rRNA from 1 species